AACGAACGCUGGCGGCAUGCCUAACACAUGCAAGUCGAACGAGACCUUCGGGUCUAGUGGCGCACGGGUGCGUAACGCGUGGGAACCUGCCCUUAGGUUCGGAAUAACUCCCCGAAAGGGGUGCUAAUACCGGAUAAUGUCUUCGGACCAAAGAUUUAUCGCCUUUGGAUGGGCCCGCGUUGGAUUAGCUAGUUGGUAGGGUAAAAGCCUACCAAGGCGACGAUCCAUAGCUGGUCUGAGAGGAUGAUCAGCCACACUGGGACUGAGACACGGCCCAGACCCCAAGGGGGGGAAGAAGGGGGGAAUAAUGGAAAAGGGGGAAAAGCCUGACACAGAAAGGCCGGGGGGGGGAAGAAGGCCUUAGGGUGGAAAAGCUUUUUUACCCGGAAAGAAAAGAAAAGUACGGGGAAAAAAAGCCCAGGAUAACUCCGG
rnacentral:rRNA from 1 species